ensembl:lncRNA
AGAGAUGGAGGUAGGGUGGAGAGAUGGAGGGGUAGAGAGAUGGAGGUAGGGUUGGGAGAUGGAGGGGUGGAGAGAUGGAGGUAGGGUGGAGAGAUGGAGGUAGGGUGGAGAGAUGGAGGGGUAGAGAGAUGGAGGUAGGGUUGAGAGAUGGAGGGGUAGAGAGAUGGAGGUAGGGUGGAGAGAUGAAGGGGUAGAGAGAUGGAGGUAGGGUUGAGAGAUGGAGGGGUAGAGAGAUGGAGGUAGGGUGGAGAGAUGGAGGAAGGGUGGAGAGAUGGAGGGGUAGAGAGAUGGAGGUAGGGUGGAGAGAGAUGGAGGUAGGGUGGAGAGAUGUAGGGGUAGAGAGAUGGAGGGGUAGAGAGAUGGAGGUAGGGUGGAUUGAGGUAGGGUGGAGAGAUGGAGGGGUGGAGAGACGGAGGGGCGGAGAGAUGGAGGUAGGGUGGAGAGUUGGAGGGAAAGAGAGAUGGAGGUCUGGAGAGAUGGAGGGGUGGAGAGAUGGAGGUAGGAUGGAGAGAUGGAGGGGUAGAGAGAUGGAGGGGUGGAGAGGAAGCGCUAGAGAGAUGGAGAGGUGGAGGGGUGGAGAGAUGGAGAGAUGGAAGGGUAGAGAGAUGGAGGGGUGGAGAUAUUGAGGGGUAGAGAGAUGUAGGGGUAGAGAGAUGGAGGUAGGGUGGAGAGAUGGAUGGAUAGAGAGAUGGAGGGGUGGAGAUAUUAAGGUGUAGAGAGAUGUAGGGUAGAGAGAUGGAGGUAGGGUGGAGAGAUGGAGGGAUGGCGAGAUGGAGGUAGGGUGGAGAGAUGGAGAGGUGGAGAUGGAGGUACGGUGAGGAGACAGAUUGGGGGAGAUGGAGGAAGGGUGGAGAGAUGGAGGUAGGGUAGAGAGAUGGAUGUGUAGAGAGAUGGAGGUAGGGUGGAGAGAUGGAGGGGUAGAGAUGGAGGUAGGGUGGAGAGAUGGAGGGGUGGAAAUGGAGGGAUAGAGAGAUGGAGGGGUGGAGAUAGAGGAGUAGAUAGAUGGAGGGGUGGAGAUGGAGAGGUAGAUAAAUG